rnacentral:pre_miRNA from 1 species
GCCCUCCUCCUCGCGUUCACUGCGUUUGCCAUAUGUGUACCUCUCAAUCAUAAGGCACGCGGUGAAUGCCAAGAGCGGGCUC